rnacentral:lncRNA from 1 species
CCAGGCUUUCCCGAAGGCCCCUCCCACCUCCACACCAGGACUGAGCACGCAGGCUGAGUGGGUUAGGUUUCUUUUCCUCAUUGCUAAAAAGCAAGCUUCCAAGAAUAUUUCUGACUAAACUGCAAAGUCAAAGAUAAAAUAAUUACUGAGCAAGUCUGUUAUUUUAUGCCAUUCCUUUCCUACGAGCUAAUCUACUUUGUGAAGUAGUCUAUGAUCUCGUGAAAUGGAAGAAAGAAACUGUCAACCCCAAACUCACAUUUCAUUCUAAGUUCUACAGAUUAGCUCAUUAGCCGCUCAAAUCUCCAUGGAGGACAAACCAGGACACCAGGCGCAGGGGAGCUGUGCAGGGCCGGCCGGAACGGGGAUCUUUUCUUUAAAGGCCUGUGGUGCCGAUCAUUCUUAAAAAGUAUCAGUCUUAAACUGAAAUUAAAACUCAUGCACACAGAGCGCUUAGAGGCUUUCUAACUAAGGCCUUUACUGCAAGGCGCAUGCUGUAAAUGCGUCUUGGGGGCUUAGUUUUGGCUGCUUUCUGCUUCCCCCCAACCCACGCUGCGGUCCCUCACCAAGUCCAGCCCACUGGAGAGCAUCACAGAUGUCUUUUGGACCAAGUCUUCUGAUCUCAGAUGCUGAUCCUACAAGUGUCUGUAUCCCACGUCUGGCUUGGCGACUGCUUUCGAGAAGCCCAAUCAACAACGUUUGCUGGUGCAUGAGUGUGUGUGUGUGUGUGUGUGCACAUGUGUAAGUGUGUGAGCAAGCAUGUCACUGUGUGUGUUUGCAACCAUGUGUGUCAGUGCAUGUGUGAGUGAAAACAGAGGAGCAAAUUUAACUCCACAGAAUUACAUCUUCAGCGAACCAGCUUGGCUGCAGAUUCUUUACUGUCUGUGCCACCAGGGAAGCCCAUCAUUGACUUAACGGACAUGAAUCUGAGCAAACUUCUGGAGAUGGUGAAGGACAGGGAAGCCUGGUGUGCUACCGUCUGUGGGUUGCAGAGCGUCGGACCUGCCUGAGCGACUGAACAACAACAAUUACAUGUGCAGCACUGGGCAGCCAUCACCUCUCUGUUGCCAAAGCUUGUUCUUCACCCCAAGCAGAAACUGUGCCUAAAACCAGAAACUUCAGCUGAAGUUACUAAGCAGUUACUUCACACUCUGCUCCUCCAGGCUCUGUAACCCCUCACCUUUCUGUGUCCACGCAUUUGGCUGUUUCAGAUAUGUCACGUACGCUGAUCAUGCAGCGUUCGUCCUUUCGUGACUGGCUUGUUUCACUGAGCACAACGCCUUUAAGGCUCAUCCGUGUUACAGCCUGAGUGAGAACUCCCUCCCGAUCUGGGCUCCGGGGUGUGGAUGGACACACUGCUUACCCUGCACCUGCCGAGGGACAGUCGUGUGGGUCACCUG